GACUCCCUUCGGGGAGUGUAUAAAGUGGCGCACGGGUGAGUAACACGUAAGUAAUCUACCUUCGAGUGGGGAAUAACGUUCGGAAACGAACGCUAAUACCGCAUAAUGCAGCGGCAUCGCAAGAUGACAGUUGUUAAAGGAAUUUAUUUCGCUUGAAGAGGAGCUUGCGGCAGAUUAGCUAGUUGGUAAGGUAACGGCUUACCAAGGCUACGAUCUGUAUCCGGCCUGAGAGGGCGGUCGGACACACUGACACUGAAUAACGGGUCAGACUCCUACGGGAGGCAGCAGUCGGGAAUUUUGGGCAAUGGGCGAAAGCCUGACCCAGCAACGCCGCGUGAGGGAUGAAGUAUUUCGGUAUGUAAACCUCGAAAGAAUAGGAAGAAUAAAUGACGGUACUAUUUAUAAGCUCCGGCUAACUACGUGCCAGCAGCCGCGGUAAUACGUAGGGAGCAAGCGUUGUUCGGAUUUACUGGGCGUAAAGGGCGCGUAGGCGGCGUGUUAAGUCAGCUGUGAAAUCUCCAAGCUCAACUUGGAACGGCCAGCUGAUACUGAUGUGCUAGAGUGCAGAAGGGGCAAUCGGAAUUCUUGGUGUAGCGGUGAAAUGCGUAGAUAUCAAGAGGAACACCUGAGGUGAAGACGGGUUGCUGGGCUGACACUGACGCUGAGGCGCGAAAGCCAGGGGAGCAAACGGGAUUAGAUACCCCGGUAGUCCUGGCCCUAAACGAUGAAUACUUGGUGUCUGGAGUUUCAAUACUCCGGGUGCCGUCGCUAACGUUUUAAGUGUUCCGCCUGGGGAGUACGCACGCAAGUGUGAAACUC
rnacentral:rRNA from 1 species